rnacentral:rRNA from 1 species
UACGUAGGGGGCAAGCGUUGCUCGGAAUUACUGGGCGUAAAGGGCGCGUAGGCGGGUUGUCAAGUUGGAGGUGAAAGCCCAGGGCUCAACCUUGGAAUUGCCUUCAAAACUGACAACCUGGAGUAUGGAAGAGGUAAGUGGAACUCCGAGUGUAGAGGUGAAAUUCGUAGAUAUUCGGAAGAACACCAGUGGCGAAGGCGACUUACUGGUCCAUGACUGACGCUGAGGCGCGAAAGCGUAGGGAGCAAACAGG